GAUGAACGCUGGCGGCGUGCCUAAUACAUGCAAGUCGAGCGGGACUGCAAAAGUUUGCUUUUGUAGUCUAGCGGCGGACGGGUGAGUAACACGUAGGCAACCUGCCCCAAACUCUGGGAUACCUACUGGAAACAGUAGUUAAUACUGGAUAAGCUGGCGAAAUCGCAUGAUUUUGUCAGAAAAGAUUUAUUGGUUUGGGAUGGGCCUGCGUUAGAUUAGCUAGUUGGUAAGGUAAAGGCUUACCAAGGCGACGAUCUAUAGCCGACCUGAGAGGGUGAUCGGCCACACUGGGACUGAGACACGGCCCAGACUCCUACGGGAGGCAGCAGUAAGGAAUAUUGCACAAUGGGGGAAACCCUGAUGCAGCAACGCCGCGUGAAGGAUGAAGGUUUUCGGAUCGUAAACUUCUUUAGUCUGGGAAGAAAAAAAUGACGGUACCAGAAGAAUAAGCUCCGGCUAACUACGUGCCAGCAGCCGCGGUAAUACGUAGGGGGCAAGCGUUAUCCGGAAUUACUGGGUGUAAAGGGUGAGUAGGCGGUUCUUUAAGUCAUAAGUGAAAGCCUGAGGCUCAACCUCAGCGAGCUUAAGAAACUGGAGAACUAGAGUGCUGGAGAGGUAAGUGGAAUUCCUAGUGUAGCGGUGAAAUGCGUAGAUAUUAGGAGGAACACCAGUGGCGAAGGCGACUUACUGGACAGAUACUGACGCUGAGUCACGAAAGCGUGG
rnacentral:rRNA from 1 species